rnacentral:rRNA from 1 species
GUGCCAGCCGCCGCGGUAAUACGGAGGGUGCAAGCGUUAUCCGGAUUUACUGGGUUUAAAGGGUGCGUAGGCGGGAAAAUAAGUCAGUGGUGAAAGCACCGGGCUCAACUCGGUAACUGCCAUUGAUACUGUUUUUCUUGAAUGCGAUUGAGGUAAGCGGAAUGUUGCAUGUAGCGGUGAAAUGCUUAGAUAUGUUACAGAACACCAAUUGUGAAGACAGCUUACUAAGUCGUGAUUGACGCUGAGGCACGAAAGCGUGGGGAGCAAACAGGAUUAGAAACCCCCGUAGUCC